ACCGAAGCUUUUCUCAGCCAACCAGAUGCAAUAUAGCAGCUAGGGGUGUGGCCAAGGGUGGCAGCGAUCCUGAGCGUCUUCGCAGCCUGGGGGUCUCGGGGACAGCAGUUGGGGGAGAAGAGGAGGGGCCUCCUUCCAGGUGUGGGUUCUGUAGGUAUCACGCGUGGGUAUCCAGAUUCCAAAUGGCAGCGUUCCAACGGUUGACCCGACAGGUCUGGAGAAGAUUUCGGUUGCGUUUAUCGGCUCCCCGGGGCUGCGCGUGCGCACAUGGCUUCGCCUGGUCCUCAGGUGCUAGUUGCUCAGAGAACAGAGGCGCCUGCUGCUUUUUGUCCAGGGAAUGAGAAAAGCCGAGCCGGGUUUGACCCUGACGCACUACCGAACAAACGUGUACUGGGAGUCUAGCCUGGCUUUCAUUUGAGUUAUCCUGAGUUUGCAAGGUCGUUUUGUCUCAAUAAAGUACAUGUGAAUAACUAGGUAUACCGGGGUCUGGUGGUUUGGGAAUGGACCAUGGAUCGUUUUGGUGGGAUGUAAAUAUCCCAAAACUGGACCGUGGGGGCAGCUGCGCUAGUUACUAUUGUACAGUUGAAAGCGGCGAGCGUAUCCUAUAGGCUGUGAACUGGUGUUUGGCCGCUGUAUUGGAAUGACUCCACUUCAGACUGGGCAAGGAUGCUGACGGGAAUCAAAGGGCACGGAGAAGGGGCCUGGCAAGUAGCUCUGUGGACCCUUCAUGUGAGGCUGUUGAAGCUUUUUGGCACCUGUGAAGCAGCAAUCCCAGUGUAGGAAAAUGCACAGAUAUAAAAACUGCCAACACACAAGGGCCCACCUAUUUACCCGCGGUGAGCUGACACUCAGGAAUUUGUGCGGGCAGAGCCAGCAGUUUAGGGCUGAACUAUCGCCCCAGGUGAAGAAAAGAUUUCUAAGGACUACAAAAGGGCAUCAGUCCUCUGAAACAGCAUCCGGGGAAGAACUCCGUCUCCAGAGCUAAGAUUCAGAUGGUGAUGAUGCGACUCUGGGUCGCUGCUGACUAACAGAGAAAUCAGUGGAACUCGUGGGAAAUCUGCCCGGUGGAAUUUGACAUCUGCCUGCUAGGGUGCUUGGGCCCACCUCAUUGUGCUCCCUCCUACAGAGCUGCCUGAGGUGCAGGAGCAGUCUGCGGAGAGUGCUUCUGGCUCUGCUGACUUCCCCACAGGGCGGUCGCCAGGGCGCAAGAAGCCAUGCUGAGAGUAGAGUUUGUCCAGGCCGGGCCCACGCAGGAACUAGGACACGGGUUCAUUCCCGUUUCUCUGGCGCCCUCUAAUGACAAAACUUCAUUAUUGCUAAGGAAAAAUAUUUAAAGAGCCCAGAACUCUUUUCUCAUUGAGCAGUCAACCAGUAAAUUUGGAACUGAGAAAAUUGAUAACUGAAUCAAUGAGAUUAUUCUUACAAGCAAACAUCACAGAAUUAUUUGUAAUGGCUAAAAAUUAGGAAUGACCUGGAUGUUCUUAAAAUGAUGACUGAUCAAGACCAUAUCUCAAUCAGCACCUCACACCUGUAAUCCCAGCACUCUGAUCCCAGCAGGGGGAUCUCUAUGAGUUGAGGCUAGCAGGUUCCGGCUGUGAGCCAUCAUGUGGGUGCUGGAGAUUGACCUUAGGGCUUCAUAAGUGCUAAGCAGGCGUUCUACCAACUGAGCGACACCACCAAUCUCAGGGCAGCUAUUUUUUUUUGU